GUGAUGUGUUUAGGAGUGUAUAUUGCUUAUUUUAUAUUGUUUUUCUAAGACCAAGUAAAAAAGUGGAGGAUACCUGCAUGUGAAAUAAGGGAGGGAGCCAAACACAUCUGGGAAGGGAAUCAGAUGGUAUUUGAAUAUACUUUUUUAAUAUUUGCUUUUAAAUCCAUUGGGGUUUUUUUAAGCUCUGUCCAUUUGCAGUGGUUGUUCUUACAUGGAUAGGCACCUGGAUAUCCUUGGAUUGAUUUGUGAAACUGCCAUCUCUGUGUUCAGCUUCUUAAAAAAACUGUUAGCAGUGAAACUAUUUCUUUCAGCUGAAAAGAAAAAAAAAGUAAUCCCUCCAAUGCACUCUGUGUGUUUCUUUGGAGCUCUACAGGUAGGGUGAUGUAGUGUGCACAGCAAUUCCUGUGUACGAGGUAAUUAAGUAAUUCCUCUGUUGCAAAAGGUGCCUGGUAUCUCACUGACGUAACUCAUGGAGUUCCCAGCUGGUAACAGGGAGCUGUCAUCCCCUCCUGUGCCCCAUAUCUUACACCUGUAUUCAUUAAAAUGCCCACCAAAUGUUACUGAGUUGACACUACUUUGUUGUACUUGGCGGUGCUUUUGUGUGUGUAAGGGAUGACAUCCCAGUUUUAGGGCUGGGAUUUCACAAAGGAGUUUUUCCAGGAGCAGCACCCUGUGUGAAAGGAAGCUGGGACCCCCAUUCUGCAUUCAUUCCAGUGGGAACAGAUUCUUAUGGGAUCCCACAUUAUUACCUGAACUUACAAUCAGGAAUCCCAGAAGAUGAAAGGAGUGGCUGGUGAACAUAAGAUUAUUUGUUCAAUAGAAUUUUCAAUACAGAUUUACACUUUGCAGGUGUUUUUUGCUAUUUUGCAGUAUUGUUGUGCUUGGAUUUUGAAACCAUUAAUAAAAGUAUAAGAGCAACUGCAGUGUUUGGUACCAUGAAGACAAGUCAGGUUGUUUGUGUGAGCAAAUACCAAAGGUGCCAUAUCAGCUCAGAUCGAAGACCCAGCUGGCCUAAUGUCUCUUGUACAGCAGUGGCUGGUCCUUAGGAAAGAGCUGAAAGAGACAGAAUGUGAAUGGAUUUGCCUCAUCCUAGUUUCUGGAAGUCAGCAUUAUGAAAGCUUGAUGAUGGGGUUUGUUGUAAAACUUUGGAAAUAAACUGUGCCUGCUUGA